CAGCUCCGACUUACACUUGAAUCCCUAUAGCACCGUUCUAGCUUGCACCAACCUCAUCACUUUCCUGAACACUCCUCGACCACUGGAUCCUCAACUCUGUCUCCUCGUCUAGCAUUAGCCUUAUUCACAAUCUCAACCAAUCAUCUCAUCUUUAAGCCUUUCUGAAAUGGUUAGAAAGGAAUAGCAAGGGUGAGCAACAAUGCUCAGCAAGUAAUAAUAAACAAUGAUAAUUCUGAAAUGAUAUAACAGAAGUUCACGAGUUCAAGAUAUAAGAGGAUUCAACCUGAGUUCAUGAGUUCAUGGUAUUGCAUAGAAUGAUUUACAAUACCUUGCAUCAUUUAAACUGAGAAAUUCAAUCUUUCCAAAGAAUUAUUGAAUUGGACUAUCACAUUUUAAUUAAAACCAAGGUUAGGCAGCUGAUCAGUUCCGCACUAACCCCGAGCAGGCCCCGCCAUGCUCUAUCACUGGAUCCAAGGCACUCAUUGGCCUAACAUGACCACGAAUCUGGUCCACAGGUUUAUAUAAAAACAAUAAUCCAAUUCUCUAAUUCAAUAACAGGUCAAUGUAUAACAACAGAACAUAACCACACCCAAUAUCAAUGAUAGAAUAAUUCCAAAUCAAACUUUGAUAAUCAACUUUUCAUAAACCAGAGUCCAUCCUUCCAUAAAUCAUGGUCCAGGAAAUCCUUAACUAUUCAGUAUCCUCCAUUAUCGGCUAAGCAACUGAAUUUAGCCUGCUAAACCAGCAUGACAAUGGCAGGUUGAAUAAUCAAGAAGAUCCCAAGUCAUUCUAGGUUCUAAUCAUCACUGAGCAACACAUGCUUCAAUGACAAUCGGAACUUCGAAUUAAUUUGUAAAACUGGAAUUAUCUGAAUUUUUUGAGGAUUAGAAAAGGAUGGAUAAAAUAUUUACACUUUCAAAUAUAAAAAGGAGAGGAACGAAUAUUUGCAACACAUUCGAAAAGAAUGGAUCAGAAUAAUUGCAAGAUAUCCAAAAGAAGGGUAUAGGAUACUUGCCUUAAAUCUGACUCCCGUCUCACAGCUCAUUCUCAUCUUUCCACUUUCGCAAUCUAUGCAUCUCAUAAUCUCUAGACCAUCUCUAGCUAUACUCUAUUCGCCACAUCGCUUCGCUUACUCGAUUCAUCCCUUAUUCGCUUUGCAAUACCAUUCCGACUUCCUGACGUCUUCGAGCGUACACGUCUCCUCCAAAUCCUUUACGAGAAUAAGAUAAUACUAUAGUCACUAAACAAUAUAUCGCAUAUACAUAUCACGUAUAUCGAUACCCACUUAUAUACCCCUUUAAACUUAUCACAUAUCACUUAACACGUAAUCAUGCUUUGACUCUACCAUAUAGUCAAGUCAUAUUCCACAUAACAUAUUACCAAUCACUUAUCAUAUGAAUCCUAUCGAAAAUCCGACAUCGUCUCGUCUAUUUAUUAGACUAUCCACCUGUUAUCCUAUCUCAAUCAACAAUCAACCAACAAGAUCCAAUCACUAUAAUCCAUAUGUCCUUAUCCAAUAUUAAUCAAAUCAUGACACUAUGUCAUAUAAGUCAUUUAUCACGUACAUAAUAUCAGGAAUAGACAUAUAUAUCACGUAAUCAUUAAUUAAUAACAAUCCAAUAACACAUAAUCACAUUCGGCACAUUUAACAACAAUUAUUCACAUUCUCGACUCCAUCAUAUUAUUAUGUCAUAUCAAACUAGACUUUAUAAGCUUUUAUCUCUCUUUCGUUUCACUUGAUUCCGACCUACAGAUCAAAAGAUAUGGUCAAAACCGUUUUCUGACUCCGCUCUCAACAUAUAAUACCUUACACCGAUAGCAGACAACACAUUACACAUUAAGUCUCCCAUCCCACUUGAUGUCAAAUCAAUUCCUGGGUUUAAAAUGAUUUUUCGUGAAUUUUCUGGAAUUUUUAAACAUUUUUCGGAAUUAAAAUCGAUAAAAGAAUCACUUUUCAGAUAAAUAAUCAAGUCCCAAUACUUAAAAUUGGACUGGAAACCAUUCAUAAACAAUUAUCGAGCCUUGAAAAUAAUUUAGAAAAAUAUUUUAAAGCUCGAAACUAUUUUUCGGAAUUUUUAAAUCAAAAAGGAUUAAUUAAAUCCAAUUAAUUAAUCAAUUAAAAUCAAUUAAUAAUUAAUUAAAACAAUUAAUCAAUUAAUAUUUAAAUUAAUUGACCAAUUAAAAUAAUUAAUUACUAAUUAAAAUUAAUUAAUAAAUCAAAUUAGAUUUAUUUUUGAAUAAAAAUAUAAUUAAAAACUAUUUUUGGAAUUAAAAUAAAUAAAUAAAAACAAUUUUUGAAAAUUAAAAUCAAAAGGUUUAAAGUGUAAAAUUUUAAAACUUUGUCGCAGGGUUUAAACUGCAACAUUUCAAAAGUUCAGGGGGCUCUUUGUCAGAAAUGAAAACUCGGUGGUGAAACUUCACCACCUCUAUAAGUUAGGGGGCUAAACUGUAAUUAUACAGUCGCCGCCCCCCUUUCCGUCGCCGGCCACCGUUGGUGGUUUAAACCAGCCCAGAAUCUCACCAUGAAGUGCAGUUUUAUAGUAAUCAACACCAGGAACUCGAAUAUAUCAACCAAUUAAGCAGUGGUUCCAUGAAUCAGCCGGAAAACCAAAUCAAAGGUUCGUCUCCGGCGAACCUUAAAAUUUUCGAUCCACUCGAAAACGACCUCCUCCACCCUCACUAAGCAUGUAAAACUACUCCCCACAACAAGCUGAUCAUUAUGGUGACCUUCAAAACUGCCCAGAUUCAACCGAAUGAAAAAUCCGGCGAAAACUCAAAAUUUCCGGCGGAAAACGCAAGAACACCAAGAACACUCAAUUUCAAAGAUUAAACUGACUUUUCGAGGUGUUAUUGAACUCAAAAAUUAACAUAUAAUAUACCAAAACGACGAGAAAAACAUGCUCUACAACAUGGAAUCAUCAAAACAAUCAAACAAACACGUUUGCAAAAAUUCACUAUUUAAAUCAUAGUAAUUCGAAUUUUAAAACCCCAAUUACUCCCUACCUGUGAAUCUCAUGUUGUUUUUGAUCAUUGAUAUGGAUUCUACUCUUCGAUAUCUUCGAUUUGACUACUCGCACGCUUGAUUCCGACUCCAAUAACGCCUUCAAAUCCACGUUUGAAUAUGAAGAACACGAAGAACACCGCUCGGUUUCUCUCGGUAUUCGUGCAGAGAAACUGGUGAAAUGAUUUUACGGGUGAAAAUCAGCUCUAGAAAGGUAUAUUUAUAUUUACAAAUAAUUGGUACCCCUUUGGAUCGUAUAUGGCAUGAAAAUACGUAUUUAAUAGCUUUAUAUUAAGAAAGUGGGGUCCAAUCGGUACUAGUUUUCAAGAUAAUCAUCAAAACGGGGCUUUUUAACUCAAUUAUUGGUCUGCGGGUCCCAUUGCAAUUAUUACAUGAUAAGGAUGAAGAAAAUAUCUCGGUUCACGUUUAUCGAGACAAAAUGGAUAAUUAUCGAAUACCGAAAAGCUCCGCCGGACCGGCUCCAGGGAAAACCGUACUCCGGAUCGAAAAAGUCAAAACACGAAAAAUGUCCGGAAUAUUGAUAUUAGGCUAAUGGUGAGUUUUCUCGAAACUUCCGGGAAGAAAAUUUGCUACCUCGUUACGAGUGGACGGUUUUACGGAAGUCAAAUAAUUAAUAAAUAAAUAUAAAUAUACACAAUUAACUCCGUAAAUCGAUUAUAAAAUCAUCUAACAUUCCAUAAAUCAAUAUAAAAAUAUCCAAAUAAACUAUAUUUUCUCCUGAGCAUAUAGAAAUUGAAAUAUCUCAAUUACGAACACAUACGAGCAUUCAGCUCAAUAAACUAGAUAAUACAAAAUUCACAAAAAUUCAUAUAUUAAUCAUAUAAUAUUAAUAAUUAAUCAUAACUAAUUAACAAACAAAUUCACCAAUACCACUUAAUCACAUAACACAUAUAUUCACAUAAUAUUCAUACAGAAUUUUCAAAACAAUAUAUAAAAAUCCAUUUUGAAAAUACAAUUAUUUAUCAAUAAUACAAUAACCCGGGGUUUAAAUAUAAACCUUUGAAAACUCAUUAAACUGGAAUAAAAUAUUAAAUCUUAUUCCUUUCUUUUUAAGAAAAUCAUUUAUAAUAUUAAGAAAAAUAUUUUUAAAAAUCCGGGUUAUUACA
rnacentral:lncRNA from 1 species